rnacentral:rRNA from 1 species
GUGAGGAAUAUUGCGCAAUGGAGGCAACUCUGACGCAGCCAUGCCGCGUGCAGGAAGAAGGCGCUACGCGUUGUAAACUGCUUUUAACCGGGAAGAAACCCCAGGACGUGUCCUGGGUUGACGGUACCGGAGGAAUAAGCACCGGCUAACUUCGUGCCAGCAGCCGCGGUAAUACGAAGGGUGCAAGCGUUAUCCGGAUUCAUUGGGUUUAAAGGGUGCGUAGGCGGAGCGUUAAGUCAGUGGUGAAAUCCUGCAGCUUAACUGUAGACUUGCCAUUGAUACUGGCGCUCUUGAGUGCGCUUGAAGUGGGCGGAAUGUGCCGUGUAGCGGUGAAAUGCUUAGAUAUGGCACAGAACACCAAUUGCGAAGGCAGCUCACUAAGGCGAUACUGACGCUGAGGCACGAAAGCGUGGGGAUCGAACAGGAUUAGAAACCCGUGUAGU